rnacentral:rRNA from 1 species
AGCGAACGCUGGCGGCAGGCCUAAUACAUGCAAGUCGAACGGAUCCUUCGGGAUUAGUGGCGGACGGGUGAGUAACACGUGGGAACGUGCCCUUUGGUUCGGAACAACUCAGGGAAACUUGAGCUAAUACCGGAUAAGCCCUUCGGGGAAAGAUUUAUCGCCAUUGGAGCGGCCCGCGUCUGAUUAGCUAGUUGGUGGGGUAAAGGCCUACCAAGGCGACGAUCAGUAGCUGGUCUGAGAGGAUGAUCAGCCACACUGGGACUGAGACACGGCCCAGACUCCUACGGGAGGCAGCAGUAGGGAAUCUUGCGCAAUGGGCGAAAGCCUGACGCAGCCAUGCCGCGUGAAUGAUGAAGGUCUUAGGAUUGUAAAAUUCUUUCAGCGGGGACGAUAAUGAC